rfam:Streptomyces sp. Ncost-T6T-2b genome assembly, contig: Ga0115255_11894
CACCGAGUCCGAGGCCCUGGGGAUCUCCGGGGCCUGGUGCAAAAGGGA